AUGCAAGUCGAACGAAGUAGCAAUACUUAGUGGCAGACGGGUGAGUAACAUGUGGGUAUCUACCCUUUGGCCUGGAAUAACACGAGGAAACUUGUGCUAAUACUGGAUAAGUCUUUACGGAGAAAGCUUUAUGCACCAUUGGAUGAGCCCGCACUUGAUUAGUUUGUUGGUGGGGUAAUGGCCUACCAAGACUAUGAUCAAUAGCUGAUUUGAGAGGAUGAUCAGCCACAUUGGGACUGAGACACGGCCCAAACUCCUACGGGAGGCAGCAGUGGGGAAUCUUGCACAAUGGAGGAAACUCUGAUGCAGCGAUGCCGCGUGAGUGAAGAAGGCCCUUGGGUUGUAAAGCUCUUUCGUCGGGGAAGAAAAUGACUGUACCCGAAUAAGAAGGUCCGGCUAACUUCGUGCCAGCAGCCGCGGUAAUACGAAGGGACCUAGCGUAGUUCGGAAUUACUGGGCUUAAAGAGUUCGUAGGUGGUUGAAAAAGUUGGUGGUGAAAUCCCAGAGCUUAACUCUGGAACUGCCAUCAAAACUUUUCAGCUAGAGUUUGAUAGA
rnacentral:rRNA from 1 species